UUUAGUUUAGCAAAAAAUGCAGCUGGUUUAGAAUCAGAAGAUAUCUUUUAAAGGUAAUUAAAA
rnacentral:tRNA from 1 species